UUGCAGAGGGCCAGUUCGGCACCCCGGGGUCUAGGGCUGGGCAGGCCCGAAGCUCACCCUCCCUCGGGUGCCCAUGACAGCUUUCCUUUCCUCUGCAGGAGCCAUGGAGCCUACUCAGGCCUCAUGGCCCAUCCAGAAGCCCUCCGUGGACAGUAGGGUUGUACAGUCAUCUCCAAGGACUGUCAGGUUUGGGUACCUGCUACCCAGGAGCGGCAGGGAUCUUUUCUCGCCAGACAUCUCCUGGAGGACCCAGCACAGCCAUGAAAUAUUGCCAGGGACGGUGACAACGGCCAGUGAGCCAGGAGCCCGGGAGUCUGCUUAGGACUCUGCGUCUUUCUCUCUCUCAGUUCCUCCCCUGCUUGCUCUGUCUGUCUGUCUGUCUCUGUCUUUCUCUCUCUCCCAACAAUAAAUUCACACAAACAAAAAAGAGACCUAAAAUGACGAGAGAAGAGAAAGGCUACUCUCCAGAGUGAAGCCCUUGAAUAUCACCCUGAGGCCAAGGGUGCAAAAUGGUAAUGUGAAAACAAAAUGAGAUUUCAUUUUACGUGAACCGGGAAGACCUGAAGGCAGAGCAGCCUCACAUAGCCCUGGGUGCACCCUGUACAACUAGCAGGAGAGAGGAAGAUCAUUCUUUCCACCAAAUUUGGGCAGGAAUUUAUUUCCAGCCUUUAAGAAAAGCAGGAAGAUGUCUUCAGGCUCCAGCAUCCACGCACUGACCCCAGUCUUCAGCCGGUGGGAAACCACCAUGUCCUCAAUCCCUCCUUCCCCAGCAACUUCUGUUCAGAAGAACUCUCCCCAAUUUCCUACCAAAACCUAGUAAAAGCUGACCUUCCCUUUGUC